rnacentral:rRNA from 1 species
CCUACGGGCGGCUGCAGUGGGGAAUAUUGCGCAAUGGGGGAAACCCUGACGCAGCAACGCCGCGUGAGUGAAGACGUAUCUCGGUGUGUAAAGCUCUAUCAGCGGGGAAGAAGGAAGACGGUACCCGACGAAGAAGCCCCGGCUAACUACGUGCCAGCAGCCGCGGUAAUACGUAGGGGGCGAGCGUUAUCCGGAUUUACUGGGUGUAAAGGGAGCGUAGACGGCGUGGCAAGUCUGAAGUGAAAGCCCGCGGCUCAACCGCGGAACCGCUUUGGAAACUGGGUGGCUGGAGUGCUGGAGGGGUAAGCGGAAUUCGUGGUGUAGCGGUGAAAUGCGUAGAUAUCAGGAGGAACACCGGUGGCGAAGGCGGCUUACUGGACAGUAACUGACGUUGAGGCUCGAAAGCGUGGGGAGCGAACAGGAUUAGAUACCCCGGUAGUC